UAUAUAUAUAGGUAAUCGGGUGUGCGGGUUGUGAUAAGGUGGACUUCAAUGAUUUGGUUCAGUGACUAGUGACUUCAAUUAUUGAAGUCCACCUUAUCACAACCCGCACACUCGAUUACCUAUA